CGCCGGGCGCAGCAAGGGCCAGACUCUGCGCUAGCAGGCGCUGCGCGCCAACCGGCCGGCACCUGUCGCAGAAGGUGCAACCGAUCGCACUGUCGCGCAGAAGCUCCUCAAUGGCCAGCGCCAGCUGCAGCCCCGGCCGCCCACUCGCCUCAUCUGAGCCUGGGCAAAUCUGGAUUGGGAAAGUUGACAUUAAUCAACUCAUUAUUCCUCACAGAUUUGUAUUCUCCAGAGUAUCCAGGUCCUUCUCAGAGAAUUAAAAAGCCUGUACAGCGCUGCUCUAAGCUGUUGAUGAAAAAUAUUGUUGGUGAGCUCUGCUUAGGUAAUAUAUAGGACAUGAGCAGAGAGGAGGCACGUGAACAGUUCUGGCCUGGAGUAGGCUUCAUUGAGGCUGUGAUGCUUUUAGCUGGAUUUGAAGAAGUGGUAGUGAUCAUCCCAGUGCACAGGAUAGGUGGACAGUCUAUGUAUUCUGAGCAGUAACUCAUAUAUCUCAUACUGCAAGACCCCAAAGGAGUAAUUUUGUGAACUCUGUUCACGGAAAGGGCCUGGGAGCUGCAACACCUCAACAGCAACAAGCACACCUGCUACCUAGAACUUGGUUUCUAAAAACCAUCCUCCUCUAAAAGGAAACAGAGCUCUUUGAAGAAACGGUGAGACAGUCAACAAACCUCUAACCACCGACCUUUUCUCCUCUGCCCUCCACUCACACUCUGCUCCAUCACCCUCAGCCACACAGCUGACGCUGUAGAGAUUCACUGACAUCCAGUCUGAUGGACACUGUUUCUCCAGCCGAAACUGCUCAUGAGAACAUGUGCAGUGAAGUGCUCCAGAGGCCCCAGCAUGCUACAUUACAGAAGACUGAACUCAGGAGAGAUGAGGAAUAAUCCCCUCCAUCACACCAGACACCAGGAGGGUGUGCCAAGAGGUAACUUUGCUGAACUUGUGAAGAAUGGUGUGCAAGGUCCAGAGCGACUGCAGGAGAGGGAAGGUGGGAUUCCCACAGAGCAGGAGCACAGAUAAGCCAAGCAAGGCCCUGCUUGGAAGGCAGCAAUCAACAGAGAUGCACAGACCUGUGAGGGUGCCGGGACAGCCAUGCAACAAUGCAGCCCUUUUGCUUCCUGAGCUCACCAGUUCCCUCGCUCCACCUCUGAGAGGUGGUUUGGAGAAACACAGCCCUUCUCAAGAGGGCUGCAAGCUACUUAAGUCCUGAAAAUUUCCACAAGGCUGAGUCAAAUCUGCGUUUCAUCAUCUA
rnacentral:lncRNA from 1 species